rnacentral:rRNA from 1 species
UGCCUUAGUAACGGCGAGUGAAGCGGCAAAAGCUCAAAUUUGAAAUCUGACACCUUUGGUGUUCGAGUUGUAAUUUGGAGAGGCAUCUUCUGGAGGGGCCCAGCCUAUGUGCCUUGGAACAGGACGUCAUAGAGGGUGAGAAUCCCGUACUUGACUGGAUGUUCCCUCCUGUAUGUAGUGUCUUCUACGAGUCGAGUUGUUUGGGAAUGCAGCUCAAAAUGGGUGGUAAAUUUCAUCUAAAGCUAAAUAUUGGCGAGAGACCGAUAGCGCACAAGUAGAGUGAUCGAAAGAUGAAAAGCACUUUGAAAAUAGAGUCAAACAGUACGUGAAAUUGUUGAAGGGGAAGCGCUUGGGACCUAUCCUGGCCAUUGACGUUCAUCCACGCCCUCCGGGGGGCAUUGCACUCGUCUUUGGGCCGGGCCAGCAUGGGUUGGGACGGUGGGAUAAAGGCUGGGGAAAUGUGACUCCUUUAUGGAGUGUUAUAGUCCCCGGUGGCAUGCCAUCAGUCCCGACCGAGGAUCGCGCACCGGCACGGAUGCUGGGUAAAGGUCUUCAGCGACCCGUCUUGAAACACGGACCAAGGAGUCUAACGUCUAUGCGAGUGUUUGGGCUUCAAACCCUCACGCGUAAUGAAAGUGAACGGAGGUGGGAACCCCGAAAGGGGCGCACCAUCGACCGAUCCUGAUGUCUUCGGAUGGAUUUGAGUAGGAGCAUAGCUGUUGGGACCCGAAAGAUGGUGAACUAUGCCUGAAUAGGGUGAAGCCAGAGGAAACUCUGGUGGAGGCUCGCAGCGGUUCUGACGUGCAAAUCGAUCGUCAAAUUUGGGUAUAGGGGCGAAAGACUAAUCGAACCAUCUAGUAGCUGGUUCUGC